ACUGUCAGAUUUAAUUAUGGCAGCCGCCAUUAUGGUUAGCGUGGAAAGCUGGAUAUAAUGAAUUUGAAUGAUUUAUAGAUGGGAGGUUUUCGGAGGAAGAAAUAUUUCUAUGCUUUAAAUAAUACUUCGGAUGCCGCAACGGCAGAUCGCCACCGGUGAAGUUUGCUGUGGAACUACCAGGCGACAUAUAGCUGCAAAUCAAGGCUCCCUAUUUCCAUCAUCCGCCUCCACAUCAUCAUUCAUCGACACACAUCAUUCAUCAUCGCUAGCCGGUCAGCAAUAGUACGAGCUAAACCAACCCUCCACCGAAUCAUCCUGCACCAAUGCACCAUACGACAGAACCGGUUCCAGUACAGAAAUUGAAAAAUCUGUUUGAUCCUCGGUCCUAGUGAUGAAUGAUUUCCUGGAGCUGCUGCUGAGAUGAGCACCCAAAAGCGAAAUGCUUCAAAUUUAAAGAAAAUCCGUGCAAUUAUUGCUCUUGCACUACCUCCGCUAUUCGAAUUCCUGAAAAUCAGAAAUAUAAAAUUUCAUUACUACCGCCGCAGUUAAUUGGCAGAGUGGAGCCGGCCAGAAUACUCUUAUUGGUCCUCAACAGAUCCGAAGAAAAACAAUGAGAAGCCACCCAGCAGCCCACCCGAAGAAUGCAGUCCACUUUUGGAAUGCGGAAGUUUACCGGUUAUUAAAAUACACUGGGCAUUU